GGGGAAUAUUGGACAAUGGACCAAGAGUCUGAUCCAGCAAUUCUGUGUGCACGAUGACGUUUUUCGGAAUGUAAAGUGCUUUCAGUUGGGAGGAAAAAAAUGACGGUACCAACAGAAGAAGUGACGGCUAAAUACGUGCCAGCAGCCGCGGUAAUACGUAUGUCACAAGCGUUAUCCGGAUUUAUUGGGCGUAAAGCGCGUCUAGGUGGUUAUGUAAGUCUGAUGUGAAAAUGCAGGGCUCAACUCUGUAUUGCGUUGGAAACUGUGUAACUAGAGUACUGGAGAGGUAAGCGGAACUACAAGUGUAGAGGUGAAAUUCGUAGAUAUUUGUAGGAAUGCCGAUGGGGAAGCCAGCUUACUGGACAGAUACUGACGCUGAAGCGCGAAAGCGUGGGUAGCAAACAGGAUUAGAUACCCUGGUAGUCCACGCCGUAAACGAUGAUUACUAGGUGUUGGGGGUCGAACCUCAGCGCCCAAGCAAACGCGAUAAGUAAUCCGCCUGGGGAGUACGUACGCAAGUAUG
rnacentral:rRNA from 1 species